rnacentral:misc_RNA from 1 species
GAUGAAGAACGUAGUGAAAUGCGAUAAGUAAUGUGAAUUGCAGAAUUCAGUGAAUCAUCGAAUCUUUGAACGCACAUUGCGCCCGCCAGUAUUCUGGCGGGCAUGCCUGUUCGAGCGUCAUUUCAACCCUCAAGACCCCUUCGGGGGACUUGGUGUUGGGGACCGGCACAGGGGCCUGCCUGCUUGUCUUGCAGCGCCCUCGCCGCCCCCGAAAUGAAUUGGCGGCCUCGUCGCGGCCUCCCCUGCGUAGUAGCACAACCUCGCAACGGGAACGUGACGGCGGCCACUGCCGUAAAACAACCCCAAUUUUAUUAGAGUUGACCUCGAAUCAGGUAGGAAUACCCGCUGAACUUAAGCAUAUCAAUAAGCGGAGGA